UUUGACCUCAAAUCAGGUAGGACUACCCGCUGAACUUAAGCAUAUCAAUAAGCGGAGGAAAAGAAACCAACAGGGAUUGCCUCAGUAGCGGCGAGUGAAGCGGCAAAAGCUCAAAUUUGAAAUCUGGCGUCUUUGGCGUCCGAGUUGUAAUUUGAAGAAGGUAUCUUUGGGCCCGGCUCUUGUCUAUGUUCCUUGGAACAGG
rnacentral:rRNA from 1 species